rnacentral:lncRNA from 1 species
GGGGGGGGGACUGGAGGGAAUUGGGGGUGUGGGGGGAGAUGGGAGGAUAGGGGGAACUGGGGGAGAUGUGGGGGGAGAUGAAGGAUGUGGGGAGAUGGAGGACAUUGGGGGAGGGACAUUGGGGGGAGAUGGAGGUCGUUGGGAAAUGGAGGACAUCAGGAGAUGGAGGUCAGGGAGAGGUGGAGGAUGUUGGGGGGAGAUGGAGGACAUCAGGGGAUGAAGGAUAUCAGGAGAUGGAGGUCACUGGGAAGUGGAGGACAUCAGGAGAUGGAGGACGUGGGGAGAAGGAGGUUGUUGGGACGUGGAGGAUAUCAGGAGAUGGAGGAUGUGGGGAGAUGGAGGUCAUUGGGGGAUGAAGGAUAUCAGGAGAUGGAGGUCAUUGGGAAAUGGAGGACUUAAGGAGAUGGAGGAUAUCAGGAGAUGGAGGAUGCUGGAGGGAGAUGGAGGAUAUCAAGAGAUGGAGGACGUGGGGAGAUGAAGGACAUUGGGACGUGGAGGAUAUCAGGAGAUGGAGGUCACUGGGAAAUGGAGGACGUAAAGAGAUGGAGGACAUCAGGAGGUGGAGGACAUUAAGACAUGGAGGACAUGAGGAGCCAGAGGACAACCGGGGGAAGGCAGAGGAGGCCCGGGCGCCGUGGAGGCCACCCCGGGGGUGACAGCAGCCUCCCCGCAGGUGCAGAAGGUGAUGCCCAACGACAGCUUCUACUUCUCCAUCGUGCGUGACCCGGCCACGCUGGC